rnacentral:rRNA from 1 species
UUUUCCGUCUUAUAAAAAAAAUUUUGAGUGAAGUGUUCGGAUCGCGGCGACGUGGGCGNGUUCGCUGCCGGCGACGUCGCGAGAAGUCCACUGAACCUUAUCAUUUAGAGGAAGGAGAAGUCGUAACAAGGUUUCCGUAGGUGAACCUGCGGAAGGAUCAUUGUCGAAACCUGCCCAGCAACACAACCCGUGAACUCGUUUAUCGUACCGACGUGGGUUUUGGUGUAAAUCCUCGGGUUUACAGCAUUCCCCAAAAAAGUCGAGGGGUAUGCCCGUUGCUCCGCAGCGUUUGGCUCCUCAAGACAACAAACCAACUCGGGCGCUGGUUGCGCCAAGGAACUUUAUUAAAAACUGAAGGAACUCCCUGCCAUCCCGGAAACGGUGCAUGCGUCGGGGAUCGGUUCCUUGUGGUCAUAAACAAAACGACUCUCGGCAACGGAUAUCUCGGCUCUCGCAUCGAUGAAGAACGUAGCGAAAUGCGAUACUUGGUGUGAAUUGCAGAAUCCCGUGAACCAUCGAGUCUUUGAACGCAAGUUGCGCCCAAAGCCUUUUGGUUGAGGGCACGUCUGCCUGGGUGUCACACAAAGUCGCCCAAGCCCAACACACAGUGGGAAUCGGGCGGAUAUUGGUCUCCCGUGUGCCCUUGCUCGCGGUUGGCCCAAAAUAUGAGCCCUGAUGACUUUAGUCACGGCGAUCGGUGGUUUUUAGGCCCUAGGACAUCGUCGUGCGCUACUGUCUCUCGGUCACUGACGGCCCGAAAAAGCAUAACUGCUUGCUCCUAAAGCGACCCCAGGUCAGGCGGGACUACCCGCUGAGUUUAAGCAUAUCAAUAAGCGGAGGAAAAGAAACUUACCAGGAUUCCCCUAGUAACGGCGAGCGAACCGGGAAAGGCCCAGAUUGAGAAUCRUGUAGCCUUCGGCAUCUGAAUUGUAGUCUAUAAAAACCCCUCUCUUCAAA